rnacentral:tRNA from 1 species
GGUUGUGGCUCAGUUGGUAGAGCACUUGCCUUGCAUGUGUGAGGCACUGGGUUCAAUUCUCAGCACCA